AUGGACUAGCUUUAAAAGGGAAACAGGUGUGAAGCCUGUGCUAUCCCGUAACUGUAUUUGAUUUGGACUCUCACCAUGUCACUGGAAUUAAAAUAGAGGUAUACCGCUAUUAAUAUUUCCGGGAAGACGGGAGUUCUUAUAUCAUGAGCCAGGAGACCUGCUUUUUGUUUG
rnacentral:ncRNA from 1 species